GCGAGACAGGUGACCACGCGGCGGAGCGCGACCGAUAAACUGGUGUCGGACGGCGUCGAGCGCAGCUCUCGGCCCGCCCGCCAAUGAUCAGCCAGCAGCCGCUGCAACCACAGGGAG
rnacentral:sRNA from 1 species